GUAGACAUCAUCUCUGUAGAUAAUCUUCAGUGUUACUCCUCUAGGACCAAAGUCUGAGGCUGAUUUAUCCUGAUAUUGCUGAAGGCAAUGCCUUUGAGCUAUGAAAGAGUACCUAUAAUAUGAUUCCCAGAGAAUACAGCAUGCAGUGACCUUGAUGGGUCACUUGUCCUGCUGCCAAGCCAACGCCCAUUCCUCCUGAUGUGCCUGUCUGCUGAAGCCUUUCCUAGCAUGCCAGACCGAAGUUUUAUUAAGAAGGUUAUAUGCCAAGG